UACGUAGGCAGCAAGCGUUGUUCGGAGUUACUGGGCGUAAAGGGUGUGUAGGCGGUUUUUUAAGUUUGGUGUGAAAUCUCCCGGCUCAACUGGGAGGUGCGCCGAAUACUGAAAGACUAGAGUGCGGGAGAGGAAAGUGGAAUUCCUGGUGUAGGCGGUGAAAUGCGUAGAUAUCAGGAGGAACACCGGUGGUGUAAACGGCUUUCUGGACCAUAACUGACGCUGAGGCACGAAAAGCGUGGGUAGCAAACAGG
rnacentral:rRNA from 1 species